rnacentral:rRNA from 1 species
CCCUUAGAUGUUCUGGGCCGCACGCGUGCUGCACUGAGUGGAUCAGCGGGUCAGGUUGCGCGAAAGUGUUUCCUAAUCUUGAAAUCCGCUCGUGAUGGGGAUUGGCGGUUGCAAUUUUCCGUCAUGAACGAGGAAUACCUUGUAAGCGCGGGUCAUCAUCCCGCGCUGAAUACGUCCCUGCCCUUUGUACACACCGCCCGUCGCUCCUACCGAUUGAGUGGUCCGGUGAGGCUUUGGGAUCUGAGCGGAAAGAGCGUUUCGCUGUUUCUGCUCGGAAAACUCAGUCGAACCUUAUCAUUUAGAGGAAGGAGAAGUCGUAACA